UCGGCGGCCCGAGCGGCACGGGCAGGGGGCGCAGCCCGUGGGGCGGCACGCCAGGUCGCUCGUGGAGCGGGCCGAGGCAAGGGAGCAAGUUUACCAGCAGGUAAACGGAAGUUUGACGGAGGUCACCAGAACCAGGGGGAGACGAAGCGGCGCUUCCAGAGCCAGGGCGGCGCCGGCGGUCACCAGGGCGGUUGGGGCGGCAUGCCCCUCGCUCAGCAGCCCCUCGACGCCAACGGCGACGAGUGGUACCAGGACUCGUACGGCGCCUGGAGUUAGAGUCGCCGGCCGCCAAGCGGCGGGACACUACCACCACCACCAUCAACGUCAUCAACAUCGUCUGCGUUCGUUUCUGAUCAAUAAUUUCACCAUUUUAAUUCGAAUCAGGUUGGCUGGUUUAUCGGAAAAAGGAAGGUUUAUCUGGAAACGUUUUUGUUUAUUACAUCCAACACUACAGAACAAUACACUGUUCAUCAUUCUAAAAGGAAACGAACAUAGGUCAUAAAUUCAAAUGCACACUUUCAAAAACGUGGUUUAAGUAUAUAUUUUCACCUCUUAGAAUAACUCAUACAUUUUUGCCGUAAAUCUAUACCUUUUUCGUAAUACACCAGCCAAUUAUUCGACAAUUUUAACUCCUUUUUUGUAUUUAAUUUUCGUAUUCGUCUUUCGCCAAUAACUGAUGAUAAUUUUCGUCCUUUUUUGUAUCUCGAAAAAGAGAGUUUUUUUCGGUAAUUUUAGUCCGGGUUUUGAAAAAUGAAAUGAAAAAAAAAACGGAUGUUGAAAUGAAAAUUCCAAAAAAAAUCUGUUAUUACUUGUGUUUUUAUUAAUUUUGUCUGUAAUUGUAACAAAAAAUGAUUAAAUCGUACUAGCGAGUUUUUAAGAUUUUUUUUAAAGAGGUCUGGCAGUAGCAGAUCAAAAAUGUGCGGAAUGAUAAGUCAAUCUGACCGUUUAGUAAUAAUUGAAAGCGUGGUUAAAGCAAACUUAUUUUGGAAUAGGCCGGAAAAAUUAUUUUUUGAAAUCAGAAAUUGUACUAUUUUACUGAAAUCAUCCAUCCACACUAUUUUGAUCUGAUACCGCUAGACUACAAUGUUGUUUUAAGUUUGCGUCUUUAUUUUUAUCGUUGUAUUUCGAGUCGUCAGCGUAGGCAUGUAUGCGGUGAAACCCCGAUACCUGGCUACUGCGACGCUUGUUUUUAUUAUUAAAUACUUUUUUCAAAAAAAAGUAGGCCUUUAAGCUGCUUUCUUCUUCUAGCCUCUGGAAAUGUUUGGUUUUUGACUCGUGCUUGUUUAAAAAUUGAUGCGAAAUUUUUAUUGACCCGUCGUUUGAUGUUUUUUUUUAAUUGUUAAGUUUGAAAGCGUGAUUGGAGGUAGAAAGAAGAGGGUUGUUUUGAGGUUAUAUAGAUAGAGAGAGAGAUAGAAAAACGAACUUUUAUCACACGCGGUUGGACCGAAUCACAACUAAGUGCGAAGUGACAUAUUUUUUUUAAUUUGUAUAAUAAUAAUAUUGUAUUUUAUCAUUAUUUUUUUGGUGAUGCACUGGUUGCAUUGUGAUGUAUUUUAGCGAUAAUAUUAAGGAAACAAUCGACUUAACUAACCAUACUUCUGUUUGAAAUUUUAUUGUUCUUGUUAAUCUGAUUCGUAACACAACACCCCUCCCCCCGUUUGAUUUACACGAAAUGCCUCCGUUCAAAAAAAAACUAAUAUAAGUAAAAUGGAAAAAAAGAAAA